rnacentral:rRNA from 1 species
CGAACGAUGAACCGGUUUCGGCCGGGGAUUAGUGGCGAACGGGUGAGUAACACGUGGGCAAUCUGCCCUGCACUCUGGGACAAGCCCUGGAAACGGGGUCUAAUACCGGAUACGACACGGGACCGCAUGGUCUUCGUGUGGAAAGCUCCGGCGGUGCAGGAUGAGCCCGCGGCCUAUCAGCUUGUUGGUGGGGUGAUGGCCUACCAAGGCGACGACGGGUAGCCGGCCUGAGAGGGCGACCGGCCACACUGGGACUGAGACACGGCCCAGACUCCUACGGGAGGCAGCAGUGGGGAAUAUUGCACAAUGGGCGCAAGCCUGAUGCAGCGACGCCGCGUGAGGGAUGACGGCCUUCGGGUUGUAAACCUCUUUCAGCAGGGAAGAAGCGCAAGUGACGGUACCUGCAGAAGAAGCACCGGCUAACUACGUGCCAGCAGCCGCGGUAAUACGUAGGGUGCGAGCGUUGUCCGGAAUUAUUGGGCGUAAAGAGCUCGUAGGCGGCUUGUCGCGUCGGAUGUGAAAGCCCGGGGCUUAACCCCGGGUCUGCAUUCGAUACGGGCAGGCUAGAGUUCGGCAGGGGAGAUUGGAAUUCCUGGUGUAGCGGUGAAAUGCGCAGAUAUCAGGAGGAACACCGGUGGCGAA